rnacentral:misc_RNA from 1 species
GAAAUGCGAUAAGUAAUGUGAAUUGCAGAAUUCAGUGAAUCAUCGAAUCUUUGAACGCACAUUGCGCCCCCUGGUAUUCCGGGGGGCAUGCCUGUUCGAGCGUCAUUUCACCACUCAAGCCUCGCUUGGUAUUGGGCGUCGCGGUCCGCCGCGCGCCUCAAAUCGACCGGCUGGGUCUUCCGUCCCCUCAGCGUUGUGGAAACUAUUCGCUAAAGGGUGCCGCGGGAGGUCACGCCGCAAAACAACCCCAUUUCUAAGGUUGACCUCGGAUCAGGUAGGGAUACCCGCUGAACUUAAGC